GUGCUCGCUUCGGCAGCACAUAUACUAAAAUUGGAACGAUACUGAGAAGAUUAGCAUGGCCCCUGCUCAAGGAUGACAUGCAAAUUCGUGAAGUGUUCCAUAUUUUU
rnacentral:snRNA from 1 species